rnacentral:rRNA from 1 species
UGCCAGCAGCCGCGGUAAUACGGAGGGGGUUAGCGUUGUUCGGAAUUACUGGGCGUAAAGGGCGCGUAGGCGGCUCUUUAAGUUAGGCGUGAAAGCCCCGGGCUCAACCCGGGAACUGCGCUUAAGACUGGAAGACUAGAAAACGGAAGAGGGUAGUGGAAUUCCCAGUGUAGAGGUGAAAUUCGUAGAUAUUGGGAAGAACACCUGUGGCGAAAGCGGCUACCUGGUCCGAUUUUGACGCUGAGGCGCGAAAGCGUGGGGAGCAAACAGGAUUAGAUA